UACAGAGGUCUCAAGCGUUGUUCGGAUUCAUUGGGCGUAAAGGGUGCGUAGGUGGCCAACUAAGUCAGACGUGAAAUCCCCAGGCUUAACCUGGGAACUGCGUCUGAUACUGGAUGGCUUGAAUUCGGGAGAGGGAUGCAGAAUUCCAGGUGUAGCGGUGAAAUGCGUAGAUAUCUGGAGGAAUACCGGUGGCGAAGGCGGCAUCCUGGACCGAGAUUGACACUGAUGAGCGAAAGCUAGGGGAGCAAACGGG
rnacentral:rRNA from 1 species